rnacentral:rRNA from 1 species
UACGUAGGGUGCAAGCGUUAUCCGGAAUUAUUGGGCGUAAAGAGCUCGUAGGCGGUUUGUCGCGUCUGCUGUGAAAACUGGGGGCUUAACCCCCAGCCUGCAGUGGGUACGGGCAGACUAGAGUGCGGUAGGGGAGAUUGGAAUUCCUGGUGUAGCGGUGGAAUGCGCAGAUAUCAGGAGGAACACCGAUGGCGAAGGCAGGUCACUGGGCCGCAACUGACGCUGAGGAGCGAAAGCAUGGGGAGCGAACAGG